AUCCCAUGAUGAGGACACUUACAAAGUAAUUCCUUGAAUCUUUCUCACGCCUCAUACAAAGAUUCGACAUCCAAUUGUUGUAAACUUGUUAUAUCAUUACUCAACUU
rfam:Gossypium arboreum cultivar AKA8401 contig_10047_3, whole genome shotgun sequence.